AGUGAACGCUGGCGGUAGGCCUAACACAUGCAAGUCGAACGGCAGCACAGUAAGAGCUUGCUCUUACGGGUGGCGAGUGGCGGACGGGUGAGGAAUACAUCGGAAUCUACUUUUUCGUGGGGGAUAACGUAGGGAAACUUACGCUAAUACCGCAUACGACCUACGGGUGAAAGCAGGGGAUCUUCGGACCUUGCGCGUUUGAAUGAGCCGAUUUCGGAUUAGCUAGUUGGCGGGGUAAAGGCCCACCAAGGCGACGAUCCGUAGCUGGUCUGAGAGGAUGAUCAGCCACACUGGAACUGAGACACGGUACAGACUCCUACGGGAGGCAGCAGUGGGGAAUAUUGGACAAUGGGCGCAAGCCUGAUCCAGCCAUACCGCGUGGGUGAAGAAGGCCUUCGGGUUGUAAAGCCCUUUUGUUGGGAAAGAAAAGCAGCAGGUUAAUACCCCGAUGUUCUGACGGUACCCAAAGAAUAAGCACCGGCUAACUUCGUG
rnacentral:rRNA from 1 species